rnacentral:rRNA from 1 species
UUUGAUCCUGGCUCAGAACGAACGCUGGCGGCAGGCCUAACACAUGCAAGUCGAGCGCUCCGCAAGGAGAGCGGCGGACGGGUGAGUAACGCGUGGGAAUGUGCCCUUCUCUACGGAAUAGUCUCGGGAAACUGGGGGUAAUACCGUAUACGCCCUUCGGGGGAAAGAUUUAUCGGAGAAGGAUCAGCCCGCGUUGGAUUAGGUAGUUGGUGGGGUAAUGGCUCACCAAGCCGACGAUCCAUAGCUGGUUUGAGAGGAUGAUCAGCCACACUGGGACUGAGACACGGCCCAGACUCCUACGGGAGGCAGCAGUGGGGAAUCUUAGACAAUGGGGGAAACCCUGAUCUAGCCAUGCCGCGUGAGUGAUGAAGGCCUUAGGGUUGUAAAGCUCUUUCAGCUGGGAAGAUAAUGACUGUACCAGCAGAAGAAGCCCCGGCUAACUCCGUGCCAGCAGCCGCGGUAAUACGGAGGGGGCUAGCGUUGUUCGGAAUUACUGGGCGUAAAGCGCACGUAGGCGGACCAGAAAGUUGGGGGUGAAAUCCCGGGGCUCAACCCCGGAACUGCCUCCAAAACUAUUGGUCUGGAGUUCGAGAGAGGUGAGUGGAAUUCCGAGUGUAGAGGUGAAAUUCGUAGAUAUUCGGAGGAACACCAGUGGCGAAGGCGGCUCACUGGCUCGAUACUGACGCUGAGGUGCGAAAGCGUGGGGAGCAAAAAGGAUUAGAUACCCUGGUAGUCCACGCCGUAAA